rnacentral:tRNA from 1 species
GACGAGGUGGCCGAGUGGUUAAGGCGAUGGACUGCUAAUCCAUUGUGCUCUGCACGCCCCGCCGCAGCCGCGGGAAGCACCUGCGAACCCUAGUCC